GACGAACGCUGGCGGCGUGCUUAACACAUGCAAGUCGAACGGAAAGGCCCUGCUUUUGUGGGGUGCUCGAGUGGCGAACGGGUGAGUAACACGUGAGUAACCUGCCCUUGACUUUGGGAUAACUUCAGGAAACUGGGGCUAAUACCGGAUAGGAGCUCCUGCUGCAUGGUGGGGGUUGGAAAGUUUCGGCGGUUGGGGAUGGACUCGCGGCUUAUCAGCUUGUUGGUGGGGUAGUGGCUUACCAAGGCUUUGACGGGUAGCCGGCCUGAGAGGGUGACCGGCCACAUUGGGACUGAGAUACGGCCCAGACUCCUACGGGAGGCAGCAGUGAGGAAUAUUGCACAAUGGGCGGAAGCCUGAUGCAGCAACGCCGCGUGCGGGAUGACGGCCUUCGGGUUGUAGACCGCUUUCGCCUGUGACGAAGCGUGAGUGACGGUAAUGGGUAAAGAAGCACCGGCUAACUACGUG
rnacentral:rRNA from 1 species